rnacentral:tRNA from 1 species
GGAAAUAGCUCAGUGCUGGAGUGCAUGCUUAGCAUGCAUGAGGUCCUGGGUUCAAUCCCCAGUACUUCCA